GACCGCAUGGAAACGAGGAAGGAGAAUACUACAGCAACCUGGAAGCCAGUGAAAAAUGAUGGCAACACUAUCUAAGACGGUAAAAAAUUGGCUAAGAAAAGCUCAUUUGGAACUGUUGAGGAGAGAAAUGUAUUUGCAGACAGAGCAUGAAAAAUCAUGAACCACUCCAUGGGUUUUGUCUUGUGCAAGUGGAAGCAAGGGAAGAAGAUAAAGAGAUGUUUUUAUGGGGCUUCUCUACUUAACACAAUCCUGAAAUUUAACACAGGAUGGAAAAGAAGGCAUUAUAAAAUUUCAGUAAGGCAUGAACUCAUUUUAUGUGAAACUAUGGAAAGUAGGAUAAUCUCUCCUACAAGAAAUAUUGAAGACAAGAUAUAUCAUUUUUUCCCACAUAGAUCCUGGAUUAUUACUAUCGUUCGAAUUUAUUUCUAUAAUUUCUAAGUCAGGUGGAACAGAGCUAUAAUUUAUUAGAGUGAAACUAUGGAGGUGCAUACAGUAGUCACAUUCUUAUGUUCAUCUCCUACAGGAACAACUUUUGAUUUCAUUUCAUUACAUUGAAAGGUAACCUCGAAUAUGAAAGGAGCCUUUAAUGUUAUAAAUAUGACCAUGUGACCAUGAUGAUAAUCAUCACUAUCAUUAUCUAAGGUACUCACAAUUAAUAAUAAGCCUAUACACUUAGAGGUCCAAAUUGAAAUUAAAAAAGGAAGACGAUAUCUAAACUUCA
rnacentral:lncRNA from 1 species